AAAUUAAAUCAGCAGAGGCAUUUAAUAAGGGGAAAAAUUCAAAGAACCUAAACCCAGCUUUGCCAGCUGUCCAAGGCCUAAUGGAAACAAUGGGCGGUGUUUUGGAACAAAGCAACUGCCUGAAAACGCAGAAGCCUAAUAAUGAAAAGAAAAAAGAAAACCAAAAGUUAUCCUAAACUUAAUUGAAAUGAAAGACUCAAGCCCUAAAGCUUUCCUCUUUUUUCCUUCUUCCAUCACGUAGGCAUCGCCGAGAUCUUACCAUUGAGAAAACUGGUUUCCACCUUGCCUUCUACAUGAACACCAUUUCCUAUACGGAUUUCCGGUCACCGCUACUUAUUCAUUUUGGACUCAGUCCUAACACCUCAUAUUUUCUCCUUUACUAAAAAUUACCUCCCUUAUCCUUUUUUCUAUUGUGGGUUCAACCUUCGGUGGUAUCUCUAAUCUCUUCUACCCAAUAAAUCAGUAAACCGUACUCUUAACCCAGAUGGCCAAAUUUUUUAUAGCCAUGUUUGCCGAGUGGGGAAUGUACCGAAAAGAUGAGCUCCUAAAUCUUAUUACUUUGAGCUUUAUUUCGUUUAAAAUGUCGCAUAUAACUGACCUAUUCUCUUCCUAAUUGUUUAGUUUCUUGAUGACAGUAAGUGAGUCCCUUUCAAUCACUACAUCACCAAAACCCAUUUCCUCUGCGAAGGUCACUGCUUGAAGGCAUUAAACUGCUUCUGCAGUGGUUGAAACUCGAAUAUUAUUUACCUGGUAUACGCACGCACCCAUAACUAGGCCCGUUAUAUGUAAUUAUGAUGCAUGAAAUUGCUAAACAGUUUAGCUACUGGUAUGAUGUGUCGAAGCUAACUUUGACUUAUUCUUCACUUGGGGGUUCCCAAUUUGGUUUAUUAGUAUUGAAUCUGUAAUUUGUGAAACUCUCUAGAUGAUCUAGUUCAACAAUGUAUGCCUUAAUGAACCUCGCAACAUCACACACUCUAUCCUGUAUUCCUUCAUGGUAGAUUUUAUUCCUGUUAAGCCAUAUUGCCCAAAAUGAUAUAGCUAUGUUUGCACAUUGUGAUAUAUCGAUGAUGUUAAAAAGGUUAACUAACCCUUAUAUUUGUUAGUACAAAUCUUCACUGAGGAAAAU
rnacentral:lncRNA from 1 species